rnacentral:rRNA from 1 species
GUAGGGACCAAGCGUUGUUCGGAUUUACUGGGCGUAAAGGGCGCGUAGGCGGCGUGUUAAGUCAGCUGUGAAAUCUCCAAGCUUAACUUGGAACGGUCAGCUGAUACUGAUGUGCUAGAGUGCAGAAGGGGCAAUCGGAAUUCUUGGUGUAGCGGUGAAAUGCGUAGAUAUCAAGAGGAACACCUGAGGUGAAGACGGGUUGCUGGGCUGACACUGACGCUGAGGCGCGAAAGCUAGGGUAGCAAACGGGAUUAGAUACCCCGGUAGUCCUAGCCCUAAACGAUGAAUACUUGGUGUCUGGAGUUUUUAUUCUCCGGGUGCCGUCGCUAACGUUUUUAGUAUUCCGCCUGGGGAGUACGCACGCAAGUGUG